UACGUAGGCGGAAAAUUAAGUCAGUAGUGAAAUCCUGCAGCUCAACUGUAGAACUGUUAUUGAUACUGGUUUUCUUGAAUAUUGUUGAGGUAGGCGGAAUGUGUAAUGUAGCGGUGAAAUGCUUAGAUAUUACACAGAACACCGAUUGCGAAGGCAGCUUACUAAGCAAUUAUUGACGCUGAGGUACGAAAGCGUGGGGAGCGAGCAGGAUUAGAUACCCUGGUAGUCC
rnacentral:rRNA from 1 species